AUAAUUCUGUUAGUGGUACAAUACAUAAUAUAUACUAAUGACAUAUGUUCUGUAUAUCUAUUUUUUAAAGUAAUUUUUAUUGUUAAAUAAAAUAUUAAUAAUGGUAAGCAAAUAAAUAUGGCUAAUUCAACAACUACCCACGUCUAUUAAUCUUAAUCCUUCUAUUCUAAGCAUGUAGUCUUCCACUAUCCCUCUCCUCCACUAACCACUCCACAAAAAUAACUAUCACUGCUUUACGAUAAUCCAAUAAAUAUAGCCAUUAGAAUCCUUCUGCCACCUUAAUUUCCAAGUCCAGCAAAUCAAUUUCUUGCAUGGCCAGUCUCACGACCCUCUAAACAUGUAGCCUUUCACUAUCCCUCGCCUCCACUAACCACUCUAAAAAAUUUGGUAUAGGUUUUUUAUAUUUUGAAAAGAUGGUAGGAAAUAUGGAGUGAAUUGAAAUGUGUUAUGUGGUUAUGGACCCAAUUUUAGUUUUAACCAUCCUCUUUAUGCUGCACAGGGUAAUCAAUUUACAGAAGAUCUUCCAAAAAGAGUUGGCCAAGUACAUUAUGGAUGGAGAAUGGACAUAUAACAAAGAUGAAAGUACACUAUAUUAUUUUGUACAACUGAUGAAAGUACACCAAGUGUUUUAGUUUAUGUGAACGGAAGAACAAGAUCAAUGUGAAUUUUGCUUUUAUUGAUUCAUGUAGCUAAGCAUUGAUUAUAAAUGAAUAUCAAUGUUUA